rnacentral:rRNA from 1 species
GUCGUAACAAGGUCUCCGUUGGUGAACCAGCGGAGGGAUCAUUAUAGAGAGUGAAAAAACUCCCUAACCCACUGUGAACCCAUACCUAUAUAUGCCUCGGCAGGCUCUGUAAAGAGACUGCCAAAGGAACCUAAACUCUUGUAUUUACCUAGUCUUCUGAGUGAUUUUAUAUAAAUAUAUGAAAACUUUUAGCAACGGAUCUCUUGGCUCUAGCAUCGAUGAAGAACGCAGCAAAAUGCGAUAAGUAAUGCGAAUUGCAGAUUUUAGUGAGUCAUCGAGUUUUUGAACGCAUAUUGCGCCUGCUAGCUAUUCUAGCAGGCAUGCCUGUCCGAACGUCAUUUACAGCACUAAAGACGCUAUAUGGUCUUUCUGUUGGAGGCUGGCUCCUAGCAGCCACCUCUUAAAUUCAGUAGCGGCGGUUGCUUUUUAUUUCCCCUGUAAAGUAGAUUUACUUGCAACGUUGGAAGACUAGCAACCCCCUAUAAACAACCUUUCUAGUUAGUUGACUUCGGAUCAGGUAGGAAUACCCGCUGAACUUAAGCAUAUCAAU